rnacentral:rRNA from 1 species
UUCCUACGGGACGCAGCAGUAGGGAAUCUUCCACAAUGGACGAAAGUCUGAUGGAGCAACGCCGCGUGAGUGAAGAAGGGUUUCGGCUCGUAAAGCUCUGGUGGUAGUGAAGAAAGAUAGAGGUAGUAACUGGCCUUUAUUUGACGGUAAUUACUUAGAAAGUCACGGCUAACUACGUGCCAGCAGCCGCGGUAAUACGUAGGUGGCAAGAGUUGUGCGGAUUUAUUGGGCGUAAAGCGAGUGCAGGCGGGU